ensembl:lncRNA
ACUGCAAACAGAGCCUUUGUCAAUGGAAACCACCCUGAUCCCACAUUACACAACUCACUCCCACAAAACUUCACCGCCAUUCCCAAUAACAACAAUGGGAACAUCAACACAAUGUCACAAAACAUGCCCAGCAACUCCAACCCACUCCAUCAUAAUGGCCAUUUGAACACUGAUGUAUUCCAACACCGCUUCAGCACAGUCCCAGACAAUGGGCAUCAAAACAAUUCAUAUCCAAACAAUGACCCUCAGAGGUCAUUCCCACAGUCUGUCCAACACAAUCCCAAUAUUCUCAUACAAACGGGCAAUUCUCAGCCUGGUGCGCUUGCGCCUACAGUUCAUGAAAACCUCAACACCUUGCCAUGUAAUGACCAGUUUAAUAAUUCACAACCUCAAAUGGUGCAUGUCAACUUGAACACAUACCCUCCAAAAGCAAAUCAGAUGGUCCAGCAACAUGCAGAAAGUGCACUACAGAUUCAACAUAUUAACAGCAACCAUCAAAAUCAUUCUCAGAAUGGCUUGCUGAACUCUGACCCUUUGACAUUGAGUAAUCAGACACAAAAUGCUCAAUAAUGCUUCAACAAAUAUUUCUCCCCAACACAACGGCCUCAUUCAGACUGGAUACUCUCACCCUACCAAUCAAACCAAUGCAAACCGCCGAACUGCCAACUCAAGAUCAUCAGCAGAAGACCGAACUCGACAUUCAAUCCCAGUUCAGACCAACAACCAGUUCAGUGACUCCAGAAUGCACCUCCAACAGAUGCCUUGGGACUGUUUGCAGAGAACACCUGCAUAUCCCAACCCUGAAGUCUAUAGCUCAGACAGUAGUGGAUCUUCAGAUUGGCCACAAUGAGAUGCACAGAGGGAUCGUUCUGCUCCGAGAUACCGGGAAACUGAAUCUUCAGGAAGGUUGACCCAAGCUGCUCCUUCCCCCCAAAGAAGAGACCUCCAGAGACCAAUCGUACCUAACCACUCUCAAAUGCACCCAAAUGUGCAAAGACAAUCAACCCAACAGAAUUUAAGCACACAACCGCAAGUCCAAUCUCAAAUCCAGACCGCAAUACCUCAAACCAAAACCUCUCAGGUUCAGAAUCCAAUCCCCAUUGGUCUACCAAGGGGAAUGACCAUACCUCAAACACAAACUGGCACCAGACCAAAUCAGGCCAUGCCUCAGCCAUCUGUUCCUCUUACUGAAGCUGCACUACGCCAACACACCGCCCAGACCGAUAACGCUUUCACCAACCGGAUCCAGCAGACUCCAGCUGCCUUGCAGAACCCUGGACCUUCUCAACCCAUACAGCAGCUCAACAUAGCAGGCCAGAGGCCUCCUAUUCCACCUCCGGUGCUGCGGCUGGAUGAGUUCCAGAAACUUCCAUGUGAACGCAUGAAGCAGCCGCAAACCAUCCAGCCUGUGAACGUGCAACGUAGACACAGAUCUCCAAACGUGCACAGGCAGAAUCGAGUGUUGCAUACGAGCCCUCAGCGAAUGCCGGGAGUGAAUCCCAUGCAUGCAACCAUGCAUUGGACACCCAACCCAUAUGCGACAGCAGGUCCACAGAGGCAGACCCAGACAUUAAGAAAAUGCAGCGCUCGUCUGGCUCGACACCAUUCGCACUACAAAAAACGUUUGUACAAAGCACAAUGUCUCUCAGGUGGAAAGAAACAAACGCUCAGCCAUUCCUCCUGCCCUCGGCUUAUUGUGCCGUACAAAUCUUUGUGUUUUGUCGGAGAGAUGGCAUUAUUGAUAAAAAGACUGAUCUUUUUGUUUCUCCUGCACAGCUGUCACGUAG